ACGCGCGCAUGCUAACAUCGGGGCCGCUGAUUGGCUCCAGGCUUGUAGGGAGGGAAUGAUGCUGUGUUGCUAUUGGCCCCGGUGGCAAAUCGUUCUCCCGCGUGGAAGUGAGAGAGAGAGUUUGUCUGAAGGAGACUCGGGGGGAGAGUGUCGCUUAAAGUAAAUUCAACAGGAAGGCAACUCUUCUUUCUCUGCCUUCCUAUUCUUAUCAUACAUUUUGAUACUUGAAAAUAUGGUGAGAGAUGCCCACUUGAGGGAAAAGGAGCAAAGCUAGAAAAGCUACAGACAUCCCGAUUCAGUUCUUAUUUGUGGGGAAGGGUGCGUUUGAGUGGCCUUCGCGAACAAAAUCUCUCCCCUUUGGCCCUCACGAUGUUGCCGAAAGGACACUCGGCGGGCAGGAAAGUGUUCGGCUUGUUUUGGGCCCGGCCUGGCUGCGCUGCCUGCCUCCCUGGAAGAGGGACAGGCCCACGCCCUUGCCCGCAGCCUCUGGGCCGGCACCUGCACGCCUCCUGCCCACGCUGGACCACCAUGCCCUCCUGGGUGAUCGACCGGUACGGGAACAACGACGCCCUCCGCUUCACCAGCAACAUGAUGUUCCCCAUCAUACACUUCCCCAAUGAGGUUAUUAUUAAAGUCCACGCUGCAAGCUUAAACCCUAUAGACGUUAGCAUGAGAAGUGGUUAUGGAGCUGCUGCUUUAAGGCUGAAGCGAGAUCCAUUGCGGAUCAAAACAUCAGGAAGUGAAUUUCCUUUAACACUUGGUCGCGAUGUUUCAGGGGUUGUGAUGGAAUGUGGAUUAAAUGUGUCCUAUUUCAAACCUGGAGAUGAGGUCUGGGCAGCAAUUCCACCCUGGAAACAAGGAACUUUAUCAGAGUUUGUUGUAGCAAGUGGAAAUGAGGUAUCUAGAAAACCAAGUUGUCUCAGUCAUGUUCAGGCAGCUUCCCUGCCUUAUGUUGGUUUAACAGCAUGGUCUGCAGUGAACCAAGUUGGAAGACUAAAUAAAGAUAAUUGUAGCAAUAAAAGAGUAUUAAUCUUUGGUGCCUCUGGUGGAGUAGGAACCUUUGCAAUACAGUUAGUGAAAGCCUGGGAUGCUCAUGUGACAGCUGUUUGUUCUCAGGAUGCCAGUGAAUUGGUGAAACACCUUGGAGCUGAUGAAGUGAUUGAUUAUAAAUCUGGGAGUAUGGAAAAGCAGUUGAAAAUGUUACCAGCGUUUGAUUUCAUUCUAGAUAAUAUUGGUGGAUCCACUGAAAAGUGGGCUCCUGAUCUCCUUAAGAAGUGGUCAGGGGCCACAUAUGUCUCAUUGGUAACGCCCUUCCUUGUGAACGUGGAUAGGCUUGGGGUAGCUGAUGGCAUGCUACAGACUGGAGUGACCAUUGGUGGGAAAACUAUAAAGCAUCUUUGUAAAGGAAUCCAUUACCGGUGGGCCUUUUUCACACCAAGUGGUCCUUAUCUGGAUGAAAUCACUGAUCUUGUUAAUAUAGGAAAGAUUUCUGUUUCUCUGAAUAUCCUCUCAGAAGUUGGUCAAUAAGCAUGCCCUCGUUGGAGAAUAUGCUCAGUCCUUGUGGAGCUCUUCUUGGUUUCUCUUCUAAGGCUUCUUCUUCAAAAGAUACAUCCAGUUAUUGAUCAAGUUUUCUCAUUUUCUGAUGUUCCCAAGGCCUUCCAGAAGUUGGAAGAAGGGCAUGCACGAGGAAAAACAGUAAUCAGUGUAACUAAUAAAAAAUAAUUACUGGUUUGUA